rnacentral:rRNA from 1 species
GGCUGCGACCAUACCAUGUUGGAAACACCGGUUCUCGUAUGACCACCGAAGUUAGGCAACGUUGGGCCCGGUUGGUACUUGCAUGGGCAACCGGCUGGGAAUACAGUGUUGCGGCCG